CCACCACUGCAGCGAAGGCACCUGACACAACUACGCCUACAAUCCCUGCUACAAGCACAAUGAAGAAACCUGAUACAACUACACUUACAAUCCCAA